rnacentral:rRNA from 1 species
UACGUAGGGUGCAAGCGUUAAUCGGAAUUACUGGGCGUAAAGCGUGCGCAGGCGGUUGUGCAAGACCGAUGUAAAAUCCCCGGGCUUAACCUGGGAAUGGCAUUGGUGACUGCACGGCUAGAGUGUGUCAGAGGGGGGUAGAAUUCCACGUGUAGCAGUGAAAUGCGUAGAGAUGUGGAGGAAUACCGAUGGCGAAGGCAGCCCCCUGGGAUAACACUGACGCUCAUGCACGAAAGCGUGGGGAGCAAACAGG